rnacentral:rRNA from 1 species
UACGUAGGUGGCAAGCGUUAUCCGGAAUUACUGGGCGUAAAGAGCGCGCAGGCGGUCGUUCAAGUCGAGUGUGAAAGCCCCCGGCUCAACUGGGGAGGGUCAUUCGAUACUGAUCGACUCGAAGGCAGGAGAGGGAAGCGGAAUUCCCGGUGUAGUGGUGAAAUGCGUAGAUAUCGGGAGGAACACCAGUGGCGAAGGCGGCUGCCUGGCCUGUUCUUGACGCUGAGGCGCGAAAGCGAGGGGAGCAAACGGG